AUUGAACGCUGGCGGCAGGCCUAACACAUGCAAGUCGAGCGGAUGAAGGGAGCUUGCUCCUGGAUUCAGCGGCGGACGGGUGAGUAAUGCCUAGGAAUCUGCCUGGUAGUGGGGGAUAACGUCCGGAAACGGGCGCUAAUACCGCAUACGUCCUGAGGGAGAAAGUGGGGGAUCUUCGGACCUCACGCUAUCAGAUGAGCCUAGGUCGGAUUAGCUAGUUGGUGGGGUAAAGGCCUACCAAGGCGACGAUCCGUAACUGGCCUGAGAGGAUGAUCAGUCACACUGGAACUGAGACACGAUCCAGACUCCUACGGGAGGCAGCAGUGGGGAAUAUUGGACAAUGGGCGAAAGCCUGAUCCAGCCAUGCCGCGUGUGUGAAGAAGGUCUUCGGAUUGUAAAGCACUUUAAGUUGGGAGGAAGGGCAGUAAGUUAAUACCUUGCUGUUUUGACGUUACCAACAGAAUAAGCACCGGCUAACUUCGUG
rnacentral:rRNA from 1 species